ACCUGGGUGGCUCAGUUGGUUGAGCGUCUGACUUCGGCUCAGGUCACGAUUUCAUGGUUUGUGGGUUCAAGCCCCACAUCAGGCU
rnacentral:tRNA from 1 species